GCCUAUAAAUUGUUGUUAUUAGAGUUGGGCCUAGGGCUUUUUCACAUCAUAAAAUUUCACAAUCUCUCUCUCUCUUCCGUUUUCUCUUCAAAAUUUUCCCCAAAUUAUCUUCUGUAAAACAACCCACUGCUCUUCCUCUCAAUUACUUCGUUACCGGAUGGAUGGAAUAUGCAUCUUUGUUGCUUACAAUGGCAAAUGGACUACAGAUAACAAGUAUUUGGAUCAUGAGACCAGACUAAUUCUUGUAAGAGAAGAAAUAUCAUUUGAAGGUCUUGUUGAAAAGAUUUUUCAGGUUCUAAAACUGAAAAGGGGUGAGAUUGAAGCAAAUAUUUGGUUUGAUACAAAGCUUGAAACAAGCAAAGGGAUGCGAGUAACAAAUGACGAUGAGGUUACUACGUGCAUCUACUUGCUGAAAAAUGAUUCAAAAUUCAGGACUUCCCGUUUCAUUGUUGAUAUUGUGGGAAGGAAUUCUUUAUCAGCAAACAAUUCAAAAACAGAAUUAUGCAAGGAAGAAGUAAAUGGUGAACCCCACGGGGAAGGACUAUGGGAAAGGCAGAUAGGAGAUAAAGCAUCGAUAGUGGUUGAACCAACAAUGAAGGUUGAAUAUUUGACAACAAAAGAAAAAACUGAGGAUACGGGACAGACAUCAAAUGGUAAGAAAGUAAGAAAAAGGCCGGCCAGUAAAAGAGGCAAUCUGCAAAAGUUAGUUCUGAGAGAAGAUGCUUCAUUGGAUGAAAUAGAUGUGGGAUCUGUGUUUGCGGACAAAGAAAGUUUGAAGAAAUGUAUAUCUAGUAAUGCAAUUGAGUACCACUUCAGAUUUAAGGUCCAUAAAUCUAGCAAAGAAAGAUAUUAUCUGAAGUGUUAUGAUGACGAAUGCAGUUGGAGUUUGCAUUCUUCACAGGUCCAUGAUUCUCCAUUAUUCAAGAUUACUAAGUUUGAAAACAACCAUAGUUGCUCUAUUGAUGAAAAUGACCAACGACAGGCGGCGACAUCAAAGGCUAUAUCUGAUUACAUCAUCGAUUUUCUACAUGAUACUGAUGAAGAAAUCAAACCAAAAUUUGUAGUAGAAGAAAUGAGAAGAAGAUAUGGACUUAGCAUUAGUUACCACAAAGCACGGCGUGCAAUACAACUAGCUUUUGGUCCAGAAAUGGAUGUUUAGUCCCAAACCGAAUAGGGUCUAAUAGAAGUGUAGCACAUUAUAUAUUGUUUUCCAACCUGGACACUACCUACUCAGAGAUUUAACCUCUCUAAAACGGAAAGUGUGGAAAGAUUGAAUCUCGAGUUAGAUACAUGGAGAAACUUUCUCAUGCCAAAACUGAAAACCGUCUAUUUUUUGUUGCGCCAGAUCAUGAAAGACCAAGUACUAUAAGCAAUGGUUAGCAUAUGUGCAAGUCUGUGAUAUGCAAAGUGGCAGAAAAUUGUCUGUCAGAUGUAGAAUUCAUUCUAGGAAUUGGAAACACUUCAGCACAUGUUUCUUUAGUUGAGCUGGUAUAGAAAAAAAGAUUGUUAGGGACUGCUUAUGUUAAGAAUUAAGAUAUUGAUCUUGCACUGUUUUUUGUUCAUAUCUUGUAGUCUGGUGCAAAGUCUGUUUGAGAUUGAUAACUUUGGACCUUUUAGAUUGUCGUAUUAAUUUGCAAUUUGCAAUUCUAGUACCAAAUUAUCGUACUAUAUAAGAUAUUAUUUCAGGUUGUCAGUUGUGCCAGAGUAA